CCUACGGGAGGCAGCAGCGAGGAAUCUUGGGCAAUGGGCGAAAGCCUGACCCAGCGACGCCGCGUGAGGGAUGAAGGCCCUCGGGUCGUAAACCUCUUUUGUCGGGGAAGAAGUUCUGACGGUACCCGACGAACAAGCCACGGCUAACUACGUGCCAGCAGCCGCGGUAAU
rnacentral:rRNA from 1 species